ensembl:lncRNA
CUGUAGACUUGUAAUGGAAACAUGAAGAUUUUUAUGAAUGAAGGCGGACCAAAAACACAGAAAGCACUGGAGAAAUUGCAAAGCAAGAGGUAAAAGAACUGUCUGCAUCAAUGGCAAAGAACCACUAUCACUCAAGGCAAGGGCUCAGUGUUUCUCACCAGCCCAGAUAACCACACUCAGCACAAACAACCUGCUGAAGGAAGAUCCAGGACAGGAGGGUUGCAGCAAGUUUGCAACAUGUCACAUCUAUCAUUUGUCACCCUCUGUCUUAGUUCCAUCUGGAUGGAAUUGUUUUCUUCAGUGUCUAGUAUGAUGUCAUAUUUUAGUUCUAGGAGAAAAACAGUGCUAAUAACACACCGAUGUUUAUAGUUGCUGCUAAGUAGUGUUGUACGGAGCGAAGGCCGUUCACAGUGAAGGUCCCAAGGAACUGGCAUGGAACAGAAUUAGGACAGCUGACUUAAACUGGCCAAAGGGAUAUUCUGUAACAUUUGACAUCAAGUGGAAGGAGUUGUGAAGUGGCUGGGUGUUCUUUUGGCUCUCUUCCACUGCUCACGGGGCUAGCUGAGCAUUGGUCAUGGAGGUGAUGAGCAACUGCUUGUACAUUUAUACACACACACACACACACACACACACAUAUAUAGUCAUAACUAUUUUCCUUUUCUCUAUCUUAGUAAACAGCUUUAUCUCAACCCACAAGCCCUGCUUUUUUUCUUUUCCUCCCUGAUCUUCUCCCCCAUCACUGGGAAGGAGGGGGAGCAAGUGAACAACUGUGUGGUGCUGAGCCACCUGCCAGGUUACACCAAAACUAGCACAACAGGAAUAGCAAAAAGACAACUCCUAAAGGAUAUAAAGAAGUUUGGCUCUUGACACCCAUCAAGAACCCAAGAGACACCCAAUGAGAACUGAAAAUGCAGCAUCCCCACCUCUCUGUGUUGCUCCCAAGCAAUCCUGGCCACACCACUUGAACACACACAUCUCACUGCUUGUAAGUACAACUGAGUGAUAUCUAUGACACAGUGAGGACAAGUGGGCAAAAAAUCUAUGUAAAAUCCAUGUUAAAUUAACAGGUUUGGUCAACUAAUAUCACAGCCUCCUUUGAGACUGUCUUGCAUCAAGAUUUGAUGCACUAAUUUCCCACAGUAUUCCAUAGGAUUCAGUGUACAAAUACCAGAUUCAUGAAGCAACUGAUGAAUAUCAACAAAUAUUUUUCCCUAUUUUAUUAAGAAUUUGGGUAAGAGCUGGCAUUAAUACUAUGUUAUGACAGCACCACAAACAGGAUGAGUGAUACUAGCACAGAAAAGCUUUGUAAAUAACGUGCAAGAUGAUGAUACAAGUGAAGUUAGUUACAGAUGCACAACCUAACACAACACAGGGCCAGCACUUGUCUCUAAGAAUAAUUCAAGUAUCUUCAAUCAAAGCAUCUAAUUAGUCACACAGUUCAAGCCCAGAGCUAGACACCCAGUCACCCUACAUAGCUGUGAAGAGUCUGGUAUGUUGUAAGGUAAUUAUAUAAGAAAAUAAUUAAUUAAAAAAAUACAUUCUACAGCCACCUACACACUAGAAACAGUGCGUGUGAAUCCCCAGCAGCAGGGGCUGCUUCUAUCUACAUAAGAUGCACAGACCAGAAUCCAUUCCUGUAAAUGGACAAAAGCCUUUGAAAGAAUGGAGCAGCCUACUUCAAAACCAAGUUAGAUAGGGCUUGACCAACACUUUAUGUAACAAAGCCUAAUUACUAAAAUGUUUCACUAUGCAUUUUCUUAAAAUGCAGUUCUACCUUCUGCAUCAAAAAAGCAGUUACAAAGAUUUAUUUGUAACGUUAACUAGCAAACUGCAGUUAGUAGUGGCUCACUUCUCAAGUCAAUUAAGAUUGAAAUACAGAACCACUCAUGAUGUGACUCAUAUUGAAAAAACUAUUAGCCUAUAAAUUUUAUAUACAUACAAAAACGAGCCUUUUAAAAUGAGUUAUGGACGCUUCCUCAGAAGAGGAAAUUGUAUAAUUGUAGGUUAUUAAAAAUCUACCAAAAAAGUCACUUGUGCAGUAUGUGUGUAUAAAUAAAACAUACACAUGCACACAUGCAUGACUGAGCUUUUUGAUUUUUCUCAAUGAAAGAUAUGUCACAGAAAUAUUUUCUUCUUUCUUUAGCGUCAUUUUCAAGUUUAAUCUAAGAGUAUUUCUUUUAAAAUUUUACAUAAUUUUCCAUUCAGUUUCAAAGGCUGCAAGCAGCUUUCAAUGGACUUAACAAAAACUGUUGACUCAACUACCCAGAACACAUUCUACCCUAGAGAGAAGCGUAUGUUUAUGUGCUGAAAAACCAGUUUCCAAGAACUCACCUGGCACUUCCACCCUCUAAAUUAAGAUCCUUGCUGUAUCCACCCUUACGCCAUAAGUGUGUGUCUGUUUGAAUCUGAACGCUUCAUCAAAAUAAACACAACAGUUUAAUAAUGUUAGAUUUCACAAUUUUAAUUGGCUCAUACAAAACAACAGAAAAAAAACAAGUUUAAACUCCUUUUCAGUUUGAUUUUACAAAGGAAGUUUUCAGGCAGGAUCGUGAAAAUACCAUGCUUGAAUUUGAAGACUUGUGCAAAAACGUUUAAGUAAAUCCUGGCAGGACACUUCUCAAAGCACUACAACUACAGUUACUCAGGUCCUCGGGGUAACAGCUGCCAAAUCUUUUAAAUGAUGCAACUGAACUCUCUCACCACUGUCUGGAGGCAAAACCCUCUCGAACUCUUACAGUUUGGCACAGAUGGCACGGGGCUGUUAUUUAGUGGUAUCAGAAGUGGCUGCUUUAGUAUAACAGCGGCAACUUCGUCCAAGUCGCCACAGCCAUUCUUUACCUGCUCCCAGCAUCCUCCCAUCCCUACCAUCCUGUCCAUAGGAAGGAAGACAGGACUCAGUGUAUCUGGGGGAUAACAUGGACAAGUCCUGAAAUGCUACGCUUCUUUAGACACAAAAAAAAAGGUAUCAGUUUGACAACGAAUUCUUACUCUCUGUUGGUGACAUAACCACGCGCUAACUGCCGCUGCCGCCCUUCCUCCUGAAUCCGAGCCAAAUCCUUUUCCAGCUCCUUAUUUUUUGUUUGUAGCUUUUUCAGCUUCUUGAGUAAUUGCUCAUUUUCGGCACCGAGCUGAAAGGCGAGAGAACCGAAAAGGAGAACGGCGCAACACUUUCAGUUUGUGGCAGGAAGGAGAAUGUGGAGGGCACUCUGUGAGCAGCAACCUCGGGGCCUCCUGGACGCAGAGGAGAAAUGCGGUCAGGGUAUGACUCUGAACAACAGAAAGGAAACACGGGGAACAAUUAACUGAGAGCAGUGCAGACCGGAGUCACUAAUGAGCAUUACGUGAAACACUGCCAGUGUUGGAAAUUUCUUUUUGUUUCUGAUGGAGCAGAACAAGCACGUGCAUGGUUCUUCAUGGGAAUCCAGCAAGAAAUGAGGACAUCUUACAAUGUACCUUCCCUUCUUGAACACCCAAAAGACAAAAAAGUUGGACCAAGCACCCUCUUUAUCAGCCAUAAAAUCUACUCUGCAACGUGACAAAUACACUAAAACUACUGCCACACUGCAGUACUCUGAACAAUAAAAAGUUAGUCAUCAGGGUUACCUCUUACAGACAGACCGUCAGCCUCAAACUUCAUUCUUGGUGGGGUACUGAGAAAAGCUCCACAGAAAGGAGCUAGAAACAGUAAACAUCAAUUUUAUGUGACUAAUCCAAUAUAAUCCUAUGCUGUGUAAAAAGACCGCCUGUAUGGAAUCACACUGAAGUGCUUUAGUAACAGUGCAGCAAGCCACUGGCUGUCAUGCCAAGGAAAUGCUCUUUCACACCAUCAGGCUAAUAAUUCCAAUGGAUUACUUCCUCUCCCC